UUUACAAUGGAGAGUUUGAUCCUGGCUCAGGAUGAACGCUAGCGGCAGGCUUAAUACAUGCAAGUCGAGGGGCAGCAGGGGCGUAGCAAUACGUUCGCUGGCGACCGGCAAACGGGUGCGGAACACGUACACAACCUUCCUUAAAGUGGGGGAUAGCCCGGGGAAACCCGGAUUAAUACCCCGUAAUAUAAUGAAGUGGCAUCGCUUUAUUAUUAUAGCAGCAAUGCGCUUAAAGAUGGGUGUGCGACUGAUUAGGCAGUUGGCGGGGUAACGGCCCACCAAACCUACGAUCAGUAACUGGUGUGAGAGCACGACCAGUCACACGGGCACUGAGACACGGGCCCGACUCCUACGGGAGGCAGCAGUAAGGAAUAUUGGUCAAUGGACGCAAGUCUGAACCAGCCAUGCCGCGUGGAGGAUGAAGGUCCUCUGGAUUGUAAACUUCUUUUAUCUGGGAAGAAAUCCACGAAUUCUUUUGUGGUUGACGGUACCAGAUGAAUAAGCACCGGCUAACUCCGUGCCAGCAGCCGCGGUAAUACGGAGGGUGCAAGCGUUAUCCGGAUUCACUGGGUUUAAAGGGUGCGUAGGUGGGUUGGUAAGUCAGUGGUGAAAUCUCCAGGCUUAACUUGGAAACUGCCAUUGAUACUAUCAAUCUUGAAUACCGUGGAGGUCAGCGGAAUAUGUCAUGUAGCGGUGAAAUGCUUAGAGAUGACAUAGAACACCA
rnacentral:rRNA from 1 species